AACGAACGCUGGCGGCAUGCCUAACACAUGCCAGUCGAACGAGACCUUCGGGUCUAGUGGCGCACGGGUGCGUAACGCGUGGGAACCUGCCCUUAGGUUCGGAAUAACUCCCCGAAAGGGGUGCUAAUACCGGAUAAUGUCUUCGGACCAAAGAUUUAUCGCCUUUGGAUGGGCCCGCGUUGGAUUAGCUAGUUGGUAGGGUAAAAGCCUACCAAGGCGACGAUCCAUAGCUAGUCUGAGAGGAUGAUCAGCCACACUGGGACUGAGACACGGCCCAGACUCCUACGGGAGGCAGCAGUGGGGAAUAUUGGACAAUGGGCGAAAGCCUGAUCCAGCAAUGCCGCGUGAGUGAUGAAGGCCUUAGGGUUGUAAAGCUCUUUUACCCGGGAUGAUAAUGACAGUACCGGGAGAAUAAGCUCCGGCUAACUCCGUG
rnacentral:rRNA from 1 species